rnacentral:lncRNA from 10 species
CAGUUUGCCUGUGGAGGGCACACUGUCUCCCAGUUGUGUAGUUCACCUUUCCUGAUUGUGUGACAUACCCUGGUGCAUGGGUUGGUUAAAUGGUAGACUAGUGGACUCCAAGGCUGAGGUGUUUGUUCCUCAUGGGCCCCACUGCUUCUGGUAAACAGAGAGGUUCAGCCUACUGGCUACACUCAUCUUAAAUCUUGUUGUGUUACAUUGUAAUUAAGUGUUCUAGGAAUGAGUUCAUUCAGGAUGAAUAAACACCAGCAAAGCAAGAACUCCAUCCAAGACAUGUAAGCCUUCUAGUCCCUGCCCUCAGUAAGUUCUAAAUCUAAGGUUUUUGCAUAGCGCUUUUAUAUCCAAGAAACUUGCUCAACUUUCUUUUUUGUUUUUGAGACAGGGUCUCACUCUGUCGCCCAGGCUGGAGUGCAGUGGUGCCAUCUCGGCUCACUGCAACCUCCACCUCCAGGGUUCAAACAAUUCUCUCAUCUCAGCCUCCAGAGUAGCUGAGACUAUAGGAGUGUGCCACCAUGCCCAGCUAAUUUUUGUAUUUUUUUUUUUGUAGAGACGGGGUCUCACCAUGUUGCCCAGAC